rnacentral:pre_miRNA from 1 species
AUCACCUGGGGAUCUUGUUAAAACAGAUUUUGAUUCAAUCACUCUGAGGUGGGACCCAAGAUUCUGUAUUUCUAACAAGCUCCCAGGUGAUAUGGA